ACCGAUGCUUCAGAUGGAGGA
rnacentral:siRNA from 1 species